rnacentral:rRNA from 1 species
CAGUCGCCGCGGUAAUACAGAGGGUGCAAGCGUUAAUCGGAAUUACUGGGCGUAAAGCGCGCGUAGGUGGUUCGUUAAGUUGGAUGUGAAAUCCCCGGGCUCAACCUGGGAACUGCAUCCAAAACUGGCGAGCUAGAGUAGGGCAGAGGGUGGUGGAAUUUCCUGUGUAGCGGUGAAAUGCGUAGAUAUAGGAAGGAACACCAGUGGCGAAGGCGACCACCUGGGCUCAUACUGACACUGAGGUGCGAAAGCGUGGGGAGCAAACAGGAUUAGAUACCCCCGUAGUCCCGUCUCUUAUACA